rnacentral:tRNA from 1 species
UCAGGGAUAUAGUAUAUACGACAGAUAGUACGUAAAAUUGCAAGUUUUAAAGAGUUUCCUUAA